rnacentral:rRNA from 1 species
UCCGUAGGUGAACCUGCGGAGGGAUCAUUACACAAAUGUGAAGGCGGGCUGGAACCUCUCGGGGUUACAGCCUUGCUGAAUUAUUCACCCUUGUCUUUUGCGUACUUCUUGUUUCCUUGGUGGGUUCGCCCACCACUAGGACAAACAUAAACCUUUUGUAAUUGCAAUCAGCGUCAGUAACAAAUUAAUAAUUACAACUUUCAACAACGGAUCUCUUGGUUCUGGCAUCGAUGAAGAACGCAGCGAAAUGCGAUAAGUAGUGUGAAUUGCAGAAUUCAGUGAAUCAUCGAAUCUUUGAACGCACAUUGCGCCCUUUGGUAUUCCAAAGGGCAUGCCUGUUCGAGCGUCAUUUGUACCCUCAAGCUUUGCUUGGUGUUGGGCGUCUUGUCUCUAGCUUUGCUGGAGACUCGCCUUAAAGUAAUUGGCAGCCGGCCUACUGGUUUCGGAGCGCAGCACAAGUCGCACUCUCUAUCAGCAAAGGUCUAGCAUCCAUUAAGCCUUUUUUUCAACUUUUGACCUCGGAUCAGGUAGGGAUACCCGCUGAACUUAAGCAUAUCAAUAAGCGGAGGA